UACGAAGGGGGCUAGCGUUGCUCGGAAUCACUGGGCGUAAAGCGCACGUAGGCGGCUUCUUAAGUCAGGGGUGAAAUCCUGGAGCUCAACUCCAGAACUGCCUUUGAUACUGGCGACCUUGAGUCCGGGAGAGGUGAGUGGAACUGCGAGUGUAGAGGUAGAAUUCGAUUAGAUAUCGCAAGAACACCAGUGGCGAAGGCGGCCUCACUGGCCCGGUACUGACGCUGAGGUGGCGAAAGCGUGGGGAGCAAACAGG
rnacentral:rRNA from 1 species